rnacentral:lncRNA from 10 species
CUUCGUUUGGAGGAAGGUAGGGUUUGUUCUAACGCUUUGCACAAAGGCGGGAAACGGUCAUCAAAGCUGUUGCGAAGGGAAGAGCCAAUGCAUUAAUUCGAUCCAAGAGGACUCGCCUCGUUGGAUUUGCAGCAACCUAAUCUCUCGCUCAGGAAGAAAACGCCACGAUAAAGAGUUUUCUGUCCUCCUUGUUUGCACGGAGCAGCAAACGCAGAGACAAAAGAAACGGGCCCCGACUGACAGGGGCUCACUCUGUCCCCCAGGCCGGAGUGCAGUGGCGCGACCACAGCCUUCUGCAGCCUCAGCUUCCGUGCUCAAGGGACGCGCCCGCCUCAGCCUCCCAACAUGCUGGGAUUACGGGCGUGAGCCACCGCCCGGGAACAACUUAAUUAAAAAAAAAAAAGCCAUA